rnacentral:rRNA from 1 species
UCGGGAAUAUUGCGCAAUGGAGGAAACUCUGACGCAGUGACGCCGCGUGCAGGAAGAAGGUUUUCGGAUUGUAAACUGCUUUAGACAGGGAAGAAAAAAGACAGUACCUGUAGAAUAAGCUCCGGCUAACUACGUGCC